rnacentral:lncRNA from 1 species
GGUUAGGCCCGGAACUACAACUCCCAUAAUGCUCCGCGCGGGGAGCUUCCGACAUAGGGAGCCCCCAUUUAGUAGAACUACAACUCCCAUAAUGCUCCGCGCGGGCUCGCCCAACCUCUCGCGAGAUCCUCCUCGCGGCGCAGCCCGCCGGCCGGCGUUGCCAUGGCAACCGAGCGCGGCCGCUGCGGUUCCGCCGCCGUCGGGGCAGGGGGCGGUGACGUCACGGAGAAGCGCUGCGGCCGCCCCCCCCCCCCCCACUCCUCCCACGGGGCAGCCGCCAGCACCGGGCGCGUUCCCGGGAGCGAGUUCCCGGGACCUCGGACCGAGAACGUCCCGCGGGCGUCAGAGUGCCCCGUCCCGUUCCGUUCCGUCCGGUCCCGUUCGGACCCGUCUGGAUCCGUCCAGCCCGGUCCCGUCUGGUCCCGUCCGUCCAGCCUCGUCCCGUCCCGUUCCGUCCCGUCCCGUCCCGUCCAGCCCCGUUUGGUCCCGUCCCGUCCCGUCUGGUCCCGUCAAGCCCGGUCCCGUCCGGUCCCGUCCCGUUCCGUCCGGUCCCGUUCGGACCCGUCUGGAUCCGUCCAGCCCGGUCCCGUCUGGUCCCGUCCGUCCAGCCUCGUCCCGUCCCGUUCCGUCCCGUCCCGUCCCGUCCAGCCCCGUUUGGUCCCGUCCCGUCCCGUCUGGUCCCGUCAAGCCCGGUCCCGUCCGGUCCCGUCCCGUUUGGUUCCGUCUUGUACCGUAAGAUCUCGUCCUGUCCCGUCUGGUCGCGUCCCGUCCCGCCCCACCGGGCCCCGUCCGGUCCCGUCCCCCCUCGCCCCCCGCCUCUCAGCACCCCCCGUGCCCCCCCCCCCCCCCCCCCGGCAGGUGCAUGUCCCGGGGGGAGGCACCGGGGGUGCCAUCGGGGGGGCCGCACCGGGGGCUCCGUGCAAACACAGCCCGGCUUCACCCCACCCGGUCCCGGUCCCGGUCCCGGUCCCGGUGCCGCUCCCCGGGCCGCCACCGUGCAGCAGCAACCGGCGGACGGGGGGGGGAGCGAAGGGAAGCGGGGGCGGGCGGCGGGGAUCGGGCUGGGGUCCUCCCCCGGAACAGGGCCGGGGCGGUGCGAGCACCCCGGGGCUGGUUGCCACCGGGGCUCGGCCCCACUGGUGUCGCCCCCUCUGCUUAACGGGUGGGCCGAGCCGAAAGGCUUUUGGGGUCGAGCGGGGCUUGGGGGGGCGGGGGGGGGGACGCCCGGUUCCUCUGCCCGUGCCCCACGUCCGUCCCCGGCACCCCCGUGACCCAGCGUCG